rnacentral:rRNA from 1 species
AUACGUAGGGGGCGAGCGUUGUCCGGAAUGAUUGGGCGUAAAGGGCGCGUAGGCGGCCCGGUAAGUCUGGAGUGAAAGUCCUGUUUUUAAGAUGGGAAUUGCUUUGGAUACUGUCGGGCUUGAGUGCAGGAGAGGUAAGUGGAAUUCCCAGUGUAGCGGUGAAAUGCGUAGAGAUUGGGAGGAACACCAGUGGCGAAGGCGACUUACUGGACUGUAACUGACGCUGAGGCGCGAAAGUGUGGGGAGCAAACAGGAUUAGAUACCCUGGUAGUCCACACUGUAAACGAUGAAUGCUAGGUGUAGGGGGUAUCGACUCCCUCUGUGCCGCAGUUAACACAAUAAGUAUUCCGCCUGGGGAGUACGGCCGCAAGGUUGAAACUCAAAUGAAUUGACGGGG